UGGUUCUUUUCAUAUGCAAAACUCUAAUUUUGCCUAUCACCUAGCAUGCUCCUUUGGGGAAUUUCCCCUUUCUUCACCCUCCUCCCUCAACUCUACCUUUGUGGGCAGCAGGAGAAGAAAUGGGAGGGGCCAUGAUGUCAUCAGUCCCUCCCACUAACCAGUUCCAACCCCCUAUGACAUCAAGGAAGGAAUAAGCUUCAUUGCCUCAAGCGAGGAGUGAUUAUGGUGUCUUGAGAGCAGUAAUUGCUAUUGUGUUUUUGAAAAUGCAGUACUCCAGCCUGCUCAGUUAGUCUCCAAGCAAGCCUGUGAGGGAGAGCUGAAGAGAUCACAAAAUUGAGGAGAGAGGAAAAUGACAAGAACUCGGGACCCCGCCCUGUGGAACCCAUGGUGUGACAUGGAAACCCAGAAAGAGAGACAGAGGAACAGAAUCAAGAGAGAUCUGUCACAGAAACCCAGAGAAGUAAAUGUGUAUUGGGAAGAUAUGUUCAACAGUGACAGAUGCAGUGCGGAGAGUUCAAGAAGGAUGAAGUUUGAAAAAAAGGCCAUUAAAUCUGAUGAUGAAGAGAGUUGGCAUCAUAAGGAUGAAAAACUUAAAAGGUCUUGUAAAGAUUUAUGCUAUCUUUGGGAAGAAUUACACUUCCUUCACUAAAAAUGUCAUCUCAUACCUCUGGGAAAGGAAAAAGAAGAAAGGAGUAACAGUGAAACUCAGGAAAAACUCCUCUUUUUGCAAAGACUGUGAGGAUGCAAAGUAGGCCAAAAAAUUCAUUUCUAAAUAAAAUAAACUAUCUUUUGCAAUUCUAUUCACUCUUCCUUAAAUGUUAUGUUAUUCCAGGCUUUCAUGUAAAAUGGCUUGAAGUAUAUUCUGACAAGUAAUAAUGUUAACAGUACCUUAAAAUGAAACAAUACUAAUCCUGUUUAUUCAAUUUAGCCAAAUUGACAGCAUUACCCUAGCCUAAGUUUUUGAUAAAUGAAGAUGCUACAUAUGGACAAAUUUAAUCAAGUGCCUCUUAUUAAAACUUUAUUAAAGCUAUUACACUAUAUCAUCAUCUCUUCACUUAACUUACAAAACACUGUACCUCGAUUUUCUCAAUUCAGCUGGAGUGAGCUAAAGAUGUGGGGAUUUUAAAUGGUUCCCUGUAACUAGCAGGAAA